AUUGAACGCUGGCGGCAGGCCUAACACAUGCAAGUCGAACGAGUGGCGGACGGGUGAGUAAUGUCUGGGAAACUGCCUGAUGGAGGGGGAUAACUACUGGAAACGGUAGCUAAUACCGCAUACCAUCAGAUGUGCCCAGAUGGGAUUAGCUAGUAGGUGAGGUAACGGCGAACCUAGGCGACGAUCCCUAGCUGGUCUGAGAGGAUGACCAGCCACACUGGAACUUAGACACGGUCCAGACUCCUACGGGAGGCAGCAGUGGGGAAUAUUGCACAAUGGGCGAAAGCCUGAUGCGGCCAUGCGGCGUGUGUGAAGAAGGCCUUCGGGUUGUAAAAUACUUUCAGCGGGGAGGCGUUACCCGCAGAAGAAGCACCGGCUAACUCCGUGCCAGCAGCCGCGGUAAUAC
rnacentral:rRNA from 1 species